ensembl:lncRNA
AACUUCGUCUGAGCAAAAACAAAAAAAAAUUAUAUAAUAAUAAUUAUCAUAAUAAUAAUUCAUGUGCACGCAGAGACUAUGGCGGCCGAAAUUAGACUAUGGCGGGGCGCCAUAGUCUCGUCAAUGUGUGGGAAACACUGGGCUGGGGUUUGUUGAGAAACUGGAAUCGUGUUGCUGUUGUAUGGCCGUUAACAGGACAGAAAUACACGUGAAGUGUGAUGGUGUGAUUCCUGCUCCACCUCUUCCACCACAACGGGGGUAGCCCUCCAUUGACUUGCCAUGCAGAAAGACACGUUUUGAACCGUUAGCCUUGAGAGUACAGUCUACAGUGAGUCCUGGUCCGGACCAGCCAGCAAUCAGGAAACUCUCGGUGGACAUUCUUUAAAUGCUUUGUUUUGCCUGAGGUUAUUUUAAGAUGCAGCGCCGAAUCUAUGUGACGCCAAAAACCAACGGCUGUCAUUAUCCCCUAUACCAUAUACCUCUGUAGGCUCCAUAAGAUGCAUGUCUCCUGUCAUUUUAGUCAACAUCCUCAAAUGUGUAAACUGUGGGAUUGUGUUAUGGAUAGUUGAUCUCUCCUGCCCUCUCUUUGUCUGUGUCUGUCUGUCUGUCUGUCUGUCGCGUCACAAACGGGCUGUGUUUGGUAUGGACACGCUUUUGAUUGCCCAACCUGUGCCUCUGCACAACUAAUUCCCCCUCGGGGGUUGGUGCGGGCGGGGGGGCCCGACAAAGUCCCGUUCUCAACGGCCCUCGUAACGCCCCAUGUGUCUCGCCUCCCGCAGGGCAUCGGCUGCUACAUGUUCCGCAUCGACGACUUCGACGUGGUGGACGCCACCAUGCACGGCAACGCGGCGCGCUUCAUCAACCACUCGUGCGAACCCAACUGCCACUCGCGCGUCAUCAACGUGGACGGCCACAAGCACAUCGUCAUCCUGGCGUUGAGGAAGAUCUACCGCGGAGAGGAGCUCACCUACGACUACAAGUUCCCCAUCGAGGACGAGAACAGCAAGCUGCACUGCAACUGCUCCACCCGCCGCUGCCGUCGCUUCCUCAACUAGGGGGUACCGGCGUCUGUCCUCUCUCCUCUCUCACACACUCACACACACACACGCACAAACAAGUUGGCAAUCUUGCUGUUAGUACUUGAAUUUCAAAGGUAAGACCUCAGGGGGGCGCGUAGGCACACCGCUGUGGGGUCACCGACCCUCGCGUUAACAGAACAACGCGCUGGUGGACAGAACGGGCCUGUUCUGCCAAGGAGCUCGGUCUCAGACGUUUCUUUCGGGGAUGUUUUUCUAACCCUUCUGUACUCUCCGAGUUCUCGGCUGUGAGGAUGUGGCGGGAGAGGGAUCGAUUACAAGGACCCAAUCGUCCCGACUGUUGCUGUUUAUUCGAUGACGCCCAGAUGUGGUUCUGUUUAAACGCAACGCAGCGUGCCCUGAAUCAAGGCCCUGUCCCUGGGAAACGCAAACAAGCGCCCGGCUGGCAUUGAGGAGAUAACCGUGGAGAGAGGCCCGUGGCCGCAGGGCAGUGGGCGUGGCCGCAGGGCAGUGGGCGUGGCCGCAGGGCAGUGGGCGUGGCCGCAGGGCAGUGGGCGUGGCCGCAGGGCCGUGGCGCUCCCGGGCGGCCACGUCCGCAGGGUCAUUUUCUCAGUACUGCUCCGUUGUCCCAAGAGGGAGGCCAGAGAACGCGUGUUGGAUACACGAGGAGGACGAGAGGAGUCCUUGGCACCUUACCCCCCUCCCCCCAUGUCCACUGCUAGCAUGGCUGUACAUAGCAGACGGGAAGGAGCUUUGGGUUGGGGGUGAAAUGGGAGAUAAACCCGUUUUCAGUUGGGCCACCUUGUGUACAUUAUCAGAGCGGCGAUGUUUAAGUUUUAACAGUCCCGAAAACACAACUCUUGCGAACGGAGAGCUGCACAUAUUUUUUUCUUUUACUGUUACAAAGGUGGUGGUGAUUUGCUGUUUUUAUUCUUUUGCCCAUAUGUAGUACAAGGUUGAUUUUUAAAUAUCCAACCCCCCCCGCAUCUCCCUUUUAGUCACUGUUGGGAUGUUUCUAUGUGUACAACAGAGCUUCUGUGACCAAAAUGAUCUUGUUUCUUACUAGUUUCUUUUGCAUUUUAUCCUGGAAUUGUUUUCCCCAUAUUUCUUUUGGUGCUGUCUAGGUUUAUGGAGGAGGGUUUGUCAGAAAUCUAAAAUAGUGAUGAAACUGCUCCCUCAGUCAUGUCUUCUUUUGUAUAUUUGAACAAGGGUUAACGAAUAUUCAACAUGCUUACAAUAAAUGUGUUAUCAACUAUUAUCUUUGUACAUGCUACUGAAGAGCCCUCUUUCCUCCAAGUAGAUGUGAUUAUUACCUAUGUACAUCUCCGGUGUCACUUCCCCCGUGUUCAUCAAGCCUCAGUCCCACCACACCGCGUCUCGGACCCUUAUUGUAGAGUGUUCUACCUCAUAGACACCGCCCACUGGCAGCAGGUUUGGCACAGUCCCAUGAGCACUCAACGAAGUACAUGUGUGUAUUUAUGUCUUAUUUUUGUUUUCCGUUUACAUCAAUUUGCAACGUAUGUCAUGCUUUUUGAUUUGCCACCAUUUUGUCUCUCAGUCCGCUCCGCCUUGUACAUAAUUGUAUACAAAAUUUCUAACUCUGUUUCACAUUUUCUACAUGUUUUUAUUUAUAAUGUUUUUGCCCAAUAAAAAAUCUUGACAAGUUACAAA